GACGAACGCUGGCGGCGUGCUUUACACAUGCAAGUCGAACGGUGAAGGUGGAGCUUGCUCCGCCGGAUCAGUGGCGAACGGGUGAGUAACACGUGGGCAACCUGCCCCUAACUUUGGGAUAACUACUCGAAAGAGUAGCUAAUACCGGAUACGAAGUCUGUAGGCAUCUACGGAUUUGGAAAGUUUUUCGGUUAGGGAUGGGCCCGCGGCCUAUCAGCUUGUUGGUGAGGUAGUGGCUCACCAAGGCGACGACGGGUAGCCGGCCUGAGAGGGCGACCGGCCACACUGGGACUGAGACACGGCCCAGACUCCUACGGGAGGCAGCAGUGGGGAAUAUUGCGCAAUGGGCGAAAGCCUGACGCAGCAACGCCGCGUGCGGGAUGAAGGCCUUCGGGUUGUAAACCGCUUUCAGCAGGGAAGAAGCGAAAGUGACGGUACCUGCAGAAGAAGCACCGGCUAACUACGUGCCAGCCGCCGCCGUAACAC
rnacentral:rRNA from 1 species